UACGUAGGGGGCGAGCGUUGUCCGGAUUUAUCGGGCGUAAAGCGCUCGCAGGUGGUUCGUUGCGUCGUGCGUGAAAGACCCCGGCUCAACUGGGGAGGGUCGUGCGAUACGGGCGAACUGGAGGCCAGUAGGGGGAUGCGGAAUUCCGGGUGUAGUGGUGGAAUGCGUAGAGAUCCGGAGGAACACCAGCGGCGAAGGCGGCAUCCUGGACUGGUCCUGACACUCAGGAGCGAAAGCGUGGGGAGCAAACGGG
rnacentral:rRNA from 1 species